rnacentral:rRNA from 1 species
AUUGAACGCUGGCGGCAUGCCUUACACAUGCAAGUCGAACGGCAGCACGGGGCAACCUGGUGGCGAGUGGCGAACGGGUGAGUAAUGCAUCGGAACGUACCUUUCAGUGGGGGAUAACGUAGCGAAAGUUACGCUAAUACCGCAUAUUCUGUGAGCAGGAAAGCAGGGGAUCGCAAGACCUUGCGCUGAUUGAGCGGCCGAUGUCAGAUUAGCUAGUUGGUGAGGUAAAGGCUCACCAAGGCGACGAUCUGUAGCGGGUCUGAGAGGAUGAUCCGCCACACUGGAACUGAGACACGGUCCAGACUCCUACGGGAGGCAACAGUGGGGAAUUUUGGACAAUGGGGGCAACCCUGAUCCAGCCAUGCCGCGUGUGUGAAGAAGGUCUUCGGAUUGUAAAGCACUUUAAGUCGGGAGGAAGGGCUGCAGGUUAAUACCUUGCAGCCUUGACGUUACCGACAGAAUAAGCACCGGCUAACUUCGUGCCAGCCGCCGCCGUAA